GGGUUGUGAGGUUAAGCGACUAAGCGUACACGGUGGAUGCCCUGGCAGUCAGAGGCGAUGAAGGACGUGCUAAUCUGCGAUAAGCGUCGGUAAGGUGAUAUGAACCGUUAUAACCGGCGAUUUCCGAAUGGGGAAACCCAGUGUGAUUCGUCACACUAUCAUUAACUGAAUCCAUAGGUUAAUGAGGCGAACCGGGGGAACUGAAACAUCUAAGUACCCCGAGGAAAAGAAAUCAACCGAGAUUCCCCCAGUAGCGGCGAGCGAACGGGGAGCAGCCCAGAGCCUGAAUCAGUGUGUGUGUUAGUGGAAGCGUCUGGAAAGGCGCGCGAUACAGGGUGACAGCCCCGUACACAAAAAUGCACAUACUGUGAGCUCGAUGAGUAGGGCGGGACACGUGGUAUCCUGUCUGAAUAUGGGGGGACCAUCCUCCAAGGCUAAAUACUCCUGACUGACCGAUAGUGAACCAGUACCGUGAGGGAAAGGCGAAAAGAACCCCGGCGAGGGGAGUGAAAAAGAACCUGAAACCGUGUACGUACAAGCAGUGGGAGCACAGAGCAAUCUGUGUGACUGCGUACCUUUUGUAUAAUGGGUCAGCGACUUAUAUUCUGUAGCAAGGUUAACCGAAUAGGGGAGCCGAAGGGAAACCGAGUCUUAACUGGGCGUUAAGUUGCAGGGUAUAGACCCGAAACCCGGUGAUCUAGCCAUGGGCAGGUUGAAGGUUGGGUAACACUAACUGGAGGACCGAACCGACUAAUGUUGAAAAAUUAGCGGAUGACUUGUGGCUGGGGGUGAAAGGCCAAUCAAACCGGGAGAUAGCUGGUUCUCCCCGAAAGCUAUUUAGGUAGCGCCUCGUGAAUUCAUCUCCGGGGGUAGAGCACUGUUUCGGCAAGGGGGUCAUCCCGACUUACCAACCCGAUGCAAACUGCGAAUACCGGAGAAUGUUAUCACGGGAGACACACGGCGGGUGCUAACGUCCGUCGUGAAGAGGGAAACAACCCAGACCGCCAGCUAAGGUCCCAAAGUCAUGGUUAAGUGGGAAACGAUGUGGGAAGGCCCAGACAGCCAGGAUGUUGGCUUAGAAGCAGCCAUCAUUUAAAGAAAGCGUAAUAGCUCACUGGUCGAGUCGGCCUGCGCGGAAGAUGUAACGGGGCUAAACCAUGCACCGAAGCUGCGGCAGCGACGCUUAUGCGUUGUUGGGUAGGGGAGCGUUCUGUAAGCCUGUGAAGGUGUACUGUGAGGUAUGCUGGAGGUAUCAGAAGUGCGAAUGCUGACAUAAGUAACGAUAAAGCGGGUGAAAAGCCCGCUCGCCGGAAGACCAAGGGUUCCUGUCCAACGUUAAUCGGGGCAGGGUGAGUCGACCCCUAAGGCGAGGCCGAAAGGCGUAGUCGAUGGGAAACAGGUUAAUAUUCCUGUACUUGGUGUUACUGCGAAGGGGGGACGGAGAAGGCUAUGUUGGCCGGGCGACGGUUGUCCCGGUUUAAGCGUGUAGGCUGGUUUUCCAGGCAAAUCCGGAAAAUCAAGGCUGAGGCGUGAUGACGAGGCACUACGGUGCUGAAGCAACAAAUGCCCUGCUUCCAGGAAAAGCCUCUAAGCAUCAGGUAACAUCAAAUCGUACCCCAAACCGACACAGGUGGUCAGGUAGAGAAUACCAAGGCGCUUGAGAGAACUCGGGUGAAGGAACUAGGCAAAAUGGUGCCGUAACUUCGGGAGAAGGCACGCUGAUAUGUAGGUGAAGUCCCUCGCGGAUGGAGCUGAAAUCAGUCGAAGAUACCAGCUGGCUGCAACUGUUUAUUAAAAACACAGCACUGUGCAAACACGAAAGUGGACGUAUACGGUGUGACGCCUGCCCGGUGCCGGAAGGUUAAUUGAUGGGGUUAGCGCAAGCGAAGCUCUUGAUCGAAGCCCCGGUAAACGGCGGCCGUAACUAUAACGGUCCUAAGGUAGCGAAAUUCCUUGUCGGGUAAGUUCCGACCUGCACGAAUGGCGUAAUGAUGGCCAGGCUGUCUCCACCCGAGACUCAGUGAAAUUGAACUCGCUGUGAAGAUGCAGUGUACCCGCGGCAAGACGGAAAGACCCCGUGAACCUUUACUAUAGCUUGACACUGAACAUUGAGCCUUGAUGUGUAGGAUAGGUGGGAGGCUUUGAAGUGUGGACGCCAGUCUGCAUGGAGCCGGCCUUGAAAUACCACCCUUUAAUGUUUGAUGUUCUAACGUGGACCCGUAAUCCGGGUUGCGGACAGUGUCUGGUGGGUAGUUUGACUGGGGCGGUCUCCUCCUAAAGAGUAACGGAGGAGCACGAAGGUUGGCUAAUCCUGGUCGGACAUCAGGAGGUUAGUGCAAUGGCAUAAGCCAGCUUGACUGCGAGCGUGACGGCGCGAGCAGGUGCGAAAGCAGGUCAUAGUGAUCCGGUGGUUCUGAAUGGAAGGGCCAUCGCUCAACGGAUAAAAGGUACUCCGGGGAUAACAGGCUGAUACCGCCCAAGAGUUCAUAUCGACGGCGGUGUUUGGCACCUCGAUGUCGGCUCAUCACAUCCUGGGGCUGAAGUAGGUCCCAAGGGUAUGGCUGUUCGCCAUUUAAAGUGGUACGCGAGCUGGGUUUAGAACGUCGUGAGACAGUUCGGUCCCUAUCUGCCGUGGGCGCUGGAGAACUGAGGGGGGCUGCUCCUAGUACGAGAGGACCGGAGUGGACGCAUCACUGGUGUUCGGGUUGUCAUGCCAAUGGCACUGCCCGGUAGCUAAAUGCGGAAGAGAUAAGUGCUGAAAGCAUCUAAGCACGAAACUUGCCCCGAGAUGAGUUCUCCCUGACUCCUUGAGAGUCCUGAAGGAACGUUGAAGACGACGACGUUGAUAGGCCGGGUGUGUAAGCGCAGCGAUGCGUUGAGCUAACCGGUACUAAUGAACCGUGAGGCUUAACCUUACAACGCCGAAG
rnacentral:rRNA from 1 species